rnacentral:lncRNA from 1 species
GUUAGAGUUCCUCAGAUGAGGGUCCAUCCUAGGGGCCAUGAAAAAACUUAACACUGGGCAAAGAUACAGAACAUCAGUCAGGAGCUAAAAAACUAUACAGCCUUGUGGAGAACAUUAAGAGACUAAGUUACAUGAGGAAAACUCUUUACAUCAUCAAUAUCAGCAUGAAUCAAUAGAACACAAGGUUAAAUAUAUAAUUAACAUAAGAUUAAAUCCAGUUGUACAACUGACUGGACCAUGUACUAUAGAAAGACAAGGUAACUGUAAUUAGCUAUUACAUCAGGCUCCUACAUGAGGAAGCUUUGUAAAAGAUGUCAGCAUCUAAGGAAUGAAUCUGAACAGAAAGCAUCUAAGUGAUAUUCCUUGCUUUUACGAAAAUGAACUUUCUAUGUUUAUUUUAAAUAUUAACAAUACCAGCUAUUAUUUUUUAAAUGUAUUUAUUUAUUACAUAUACACUGUUCAUGCCUACAUGCCAGAUCUCGUUAUAGAUGACUGUGAGCCACCAUGUGGUUGCUGGGAAUUGAACUCAGGACCUCUGGAAGACCAGUCAGUGCUCAUAAUCUCUGAGCCAUCUCUCCAGCCCACCAGCUAUUAUUUAAUGAACAAAAAAGAGUAUCUUAAGUAGAACAAAAUCUUGGUUAGAAACAAUUUGUAAGGUGAAAUUUUAAAAAUUGGGCUACCUGAAACAAUCAUAUCUGGUAUUUGAAAACAUGACAAUAGAUGUUUUUGUUAACAUCAAAUUGUCCAAUUUUUUAUAACCAAGUUUUAGAAUAGACCUGACUUUGAAAAUUAUUUUGCCUUAAGCAAAUUUUAAGUUUUCCUUAAACUUGUUUUGCCUUACUUGCUUUAGGCUUAAAUUUGACAAUGUAUAUAUAAAUGUUGAUCUUUCCCUUCAAGUUUGUCUUUGCAAAUCAGUGGUGGAUCAUGAUGGGAUCAUGAAAGGGGUCAAAUGACCCUUUCACAGGGGUCACCUAAGACCAUCCUGCCUAUCAGAUGUUUACAUUAUGAUUCAUAACAGUAGCAAAAUUAUAGUUACAAUGUAGCAGCGACAGUAAUUUUAUGGCUGGGGGGUCAACACAACUUGCGGAACCAUAUUAAAGGGUUGCAGCAUUAGGAAGGUUGAGAACCACUGCUGUAAAUGAAUUACAUUUGUGCUGAGCAUGACUCAUAAGGUAUUAGCCAAAAUGGGAAAAGUUUGCUUUUUAGUCGAUCUCAAGUUCAAAGUGUGUUUUCCUGGCCUGUUCUGUUUCUUUUUCUCCUUCUCCUGUCACAGUCAGGUGACUGGCCCGAUCCAGGAUAGACUUUGGAGGAAACUUCUAAACAAACAUGUUUGGGUCUGGAGCAGAUAGGCUAAAUGCCAACUCCAGAGCUACUUCUCUAAAGUAGAAUAGCAUGAAAUAAAAUUUCAAUAUUAUUCAUACCCAAAAGAUAUUUGAACCUCUGUAAGACUGAAGCUAGUGUUUACAUUUACAUAACCAGUUUGUAUGUACCUGCAGAUGGGAGUAGACAACCUGAAAUGCUUUUACUUCUUAGCUGUUAAAGAUACAAGCGGGAUUUUCCAGUCUUGUUAAGGCAGAAACACAAACAGGCCAAAAAUACAUGGCAAAAGAAACCUAAGGAGAAAGAAACAAGAAUAAAGGACAUGACUGCUCCCUGGUGUGGUGGAGGAGAAAGUCUAUUGUAGAUUAAAGGGAGAGCAUAGCCAGAAUAAGAGACAUUUGGGGGAGUCCAGAGUGGUCAUGACCCUAAGCCAAGUGAGGAGAGUGGGGAGGGGGAGGGAGAAGGGAGAGAGGGAACCAGGUGCAGCAGCCAAGAGGACAAAGGUAUAAAAAAGAUCAGGCAACUAAAUUGUCUGGGUUAUAUAGGGAAGAGCCUCUGGGGGAAGGAGCCCAUCCCCGAGGCUGCAGAGUUGGGAGUGCGUUGCAGGGGUGGCGAGUAAGAGUAAGAGUAAGAAGGUGGGGUAUGCCAGCCAUACCUUGUAACAGGUAGGGAUUGAGAGAUGCCAAGAACCUGGUGGCCAGGUCUGCUUUGAUAUGUUAAAUAGGCACCUCAGCCGUUUGUCCCAGGGUUUGAGACUGAAAACCCAGCCUUUUUGUUGAUAAUAAAUGACAAGGGGCAACAUCAUCUCCUAUGACUACUUCCUUCUGACACUGAGGUGUUGUUGGGGCUCCAAGAAAGCUGGUAUACUGGCCAAGGCCAGGAAGAACAAGCUGUUUCACUUACUGUCCAGGCUCUGUGGGACCAUCUAGGGUUAGGGAAAGUACAGGCCAAGUUGGAGCAGUCUGUGAGGCUGGACCAACUGAGGCUGACCAUUUAGGAUCCACCUAGAAUGUAGAUUCUGAGGUAACUCCUAGAGCUGGGGCAUUGCUGGAGCAGUCUGUAGUUGAUUUGAAAUCUUCUGGGACAGAUAGACUAGGGAUGGAGAUUAUAAAGUUAAGGAGUUUAGGGGAAUUUUUUUUCUUAGGUGUACAUUUGAAAUGUUUAGGCCCAUGGUCUUGGUAGUUAGGGGAGGGGAGUCCCAAGACCAGGGAAAAGUGGAAAAAGAUUAACAUACUAUGAGAACGAUGACACUAGACUUUUGCACGGAGACCCAAAGUGGACACUUCUAAUGUCCUAGUAUGCUCUUGGAAUUGAUACAGACCCGGUCUUUUAUUUGCAUGAAGGAAUGUUGUGAUUGGUGCACACACCCUGAUCAGAACCCUUCUGUAGCUCUAGGUGCAGCUUGUCUGCUUAUUUUGUAGGCUGGCAGGGAAAUGCAUUCUUCUGCUGCCACCUGGUGUUAGAACUCAAGGCCCAAAAAAUGCUUCUCUUCAGGGUUUUCUCUUUUUUCUUUUCUUUUUUUUUUUUUUAACCUUUCAAAAUCUUUAUUGUUGAACAUUUGUUAAUUUUACUUAAACCCCUUAAUCUUUUUUCAACUUUUUAAAAUUUGAAUUAGAAACAAAAUUGUUUUACGUGAUAAUCCUAAUUCCCUUCUCCCUCCUGUCCUCCCCUACCACCCCCCCCCAACUAAAACCCUAUCUAUCACAUAUCCUUUCUGCUCCCCCUGGAGGGUGAGGCCUUCCAUAGGGUGUCGUCAGAUUCUAUUGUAUCCUUUGGGAUAGGGCCUAGGCCCACCCCCAUGUGUCUUGGUUCAGGGAGUAUUCCUCUAUGUGGAAUGGGCUCCCAAAGUCCACACCUAUGCUAGGGAUAAGUACUGAACUUCUACAGGAGGUCCCGUAGAUUUCUGAGGUUUCCUCACAGAAAUCCAUGUUCCUGGGGUCUGGAUCAGUCCCAUGCUGGUAUUCCAGAUAUCAGUCUGGGGAGCAAGAGCUCCCCGUUGUUCAGGUCAGCUGUUUCUGUGGGUUUCACCAGCCUGGUCUGGACCCCUUUGCUUUUCACUCGUCCUUCUCUGCAUCUGGAUUCCAGUUCAGUUCGGUGAUUAGUUGUGGGUGUCUGCUUCUACUUCCACCAGCUGCUGGAUGAAGGCUAUAGGAUGGCAUAUAAGGUAGUCAUCAAUCUCAUUAUCAGGGGAGAGCAUUUAAGGUAGCCUCUCCUCUGUUGCUUAGAUUGUUAGCUGGUGUCAUCUUUGUAGAUCUCCAGACAUUUCCCUAGUGCCUCUUCAGGGUUUUUCUGGCCUACUUUUGAUCACCAUUGGUGGAGAGAGAUGAGCAGGAAACAGUGUAAAGGCGGUAGUGGUGGCAGAGAUGGCUGUAGCACAGAGAGCUGGUGAUGGCACGCACCAUGAGUGUCAGCUGAAGAAACAAUGAGAAGAUAGGUGGUAGAGACUAUGAAAGAUGGUGAAAGUAAAAGGUAGGUAAGGGAGGGUAGGAGCUGAGGAUGAACAAGGACAGAAGGGAGAAAAACUGCAUGCCUGGGUAGCUGAAGGUGUUCCAGAGAGCCCUCAGGGCCCAGGGUCUCAGAUAUACUAGACCAAAAGCUAGACCCUAGACAGACACCCUAAGCUAAGGGUGUAAUUCUUGCUGUGGAGCUAAGAGCUCAAUACUCAAGGUCUGUGUGACAGCUGCCACACUAGAAGACACCAAUUAGUGCCACUUGUUGCCACCUGCUGCAGCCAUUUAACUCCUCCUGGAAGCAGAGGGUUACAAAGCUACCAAACACCAGGCUGAUGGUGUGUAAAGCCCAGAGCCUUGGAGUUGCUGAGCCUGCAGGUCUAUUCCACCAUGCUGGAAAGAAACACAUUGUGAGCAUACUGUUAAGAGAUUGAAAAACAGCCUACAGACUAGAAGAAAAUAUUUCAAAUCAUGCAUCUGACAAAGGACUUGUGCUCAAACCUAUAAAGAAUUCUCAAAAUUUGACACACACAAAAAAGAAAAAUAGCUUGAUUUAAACUGGGUCAAGGACUUGAC